UCGAGUUUGAUCAUGGCUCAGAUUGAACGCUGGCGGCAGGCCUAACACAUGCAAGUCGAACGGUAACAGCAGAGCUUGCUCUGGCUGACGAGUGGCGGACGGGUGAGUAACGCGUAGGAAUCUACCCAGUAGUGGGGGACAACUUGGGGAAACUCAAGCUAAUACCGCAUACGCCCUACGGGGGAAAGCGGGGGACCUUCGGGCCUCGUGCUAUUGGAUGAGCCUGCGUUAGAUUAGCUAGUUGGUGGGGUAAUGGCCCACCAAGGCGACGAUCUAUAGCUGGUCUGAGAGGAUGAUCAGCCACACUGGAACUGAGACACGGUCCAGACUCCUACGGGAGGCAGCAGUGGGGAAUAUUGCACAAUGGGCGCAAGCCUGAUGCAGCCAUGCCGCGUGUGUGAAGAAGGCUCUAGGGUUGUAAAGCACUUUAAGCAGGGAGGAGGCCUGAAGAUUAAUACUCUUUAGGAUUGACGUUACCUGCAGAAUAAGCACCGGCUAACUCCGUGCCAGCAGCCGCGGUAAUACGGAGGGUGCAAGCGUUAAUCGGAAUUACUGGGCGUAAAGCGCGCGUAGGCGGUAUUGUAAGUGGGAUGUGAAAGCCCCGGGCUCAACCUGGGAACUGCAUUCCAAACUGCAAAACUAGAGUAUGGUAGAGGAUAGUGGAAUUUCAGGUGUAGCGGUGAAAUGCGUAGAGAUCUGAAGGAACACCAGUGGCGAAGGCGACUGUCUGGGCUGAUACUGACACUGAGGUGCGAAAGCGUGGGGAGCAAACGGGAUUAGAUACCCCGGUAGUCCACGCCGUAAACGAUGUCAACUAGCCGUUGGGAGUCUUAGUAUUCUUAGUGGCGAAGCUAACGCGAUAAGUAGACCGCCUGGGGAGUACGGUCGCAAGAUUAAAACUCAAAUGAAUUGACGGGGGCCCGCACAAGCGGUGGAGCAUGUGGUUUAAUUCGACGCAACGCGAAGAACCUUACCUACUCUUGCCAUCCAGACAACUUACUAGAGAUAGUUUGGUGCCCUCGGGAACUCUGGGACAGGUGCUGCAUGACUGUCGUCAGCUCGUGUCGUGAGAUGUUCGGUUAAGUCCCGUAACGAGCGCAACCCUUGUCCUUAGUUGCCAGCACGUAAUGGUGGGAACUCUAGGGAGACUGCCGGUGACAAACCGGAGGAAGGUGGGGAUGACGUCAAGUCAUCAUGGCCCUUAUGGCCUGGGCUACACACGUGCUACAAUGGCCGGUACAAAGGGUCGCUAAGCAGCAAUGUGGCGCCAAUCCAACAAAGCCGGUCGUAGUCCGGAUUGAAGUCUGCAACUCGACUUCAUGAAGUCGGAAUCGCUAGUAAUCGCGAAUCAGAAUGUCGCGGUGAAUACGUUCCCGGGCCUUGUACCCACCGCCCGUCACACCAUGGGAGUGGGUUGCAAAAGAAGUGGGUAGACUAACCUUCGGGAGGUCGCUCACCACUUUGUGAUUCAUGACUGGGGUGAAGUCGUAACAAGGUAGCCCAAGCCGAA
rnacentral:rRNA from 1 species